UUUUACCUACGGGGGGCAGCAGUGAGGAAUAUUGGUCAAUGGGCGCGAGCCUGAACCAGCCAAGUCGCGUGAGGGAAGACGGUCCUAUGGAUUGUAAACCUCUUUUGUCGGGGAGCAAAAGACGCCACGCGUGGCGUUCCGAGAGUACCCGAAGAAAAAGCAUCGGCUAACUCCGUGCCAGCAGCCGCGGUAAUACGGAGGAUGCGAGCGUUAUCCGGAUUUAUUGGGUUUAAAGGGGGCGCAGGCGGAAGAUCAAGUCAGCGGUAAAAUUGAGAAGCUGAACCUCUUC
rnacentral:rRNA from 1 species